rnacentral:rRNA from 1 species
UGAGGAAUAUUGGGCAAUGGGGGCAACCCUGACCCAGCCAUGCCGCGUGAGUGAAGAAGGUUUUCGGAUUGUAAAGCUCUUUCGGGUGUGACGAUGAUGACGGUAGCACCUAAAGAAGCCCCGGCAAACUUCGUGCCAGCAGCCGCGGUAAUACGAAGGGGGCGAGCGUUGUUCGGAAUUACUGGGCGUAAAGGGUGUGUAGGUUGACGUGUAAGAUAGCGGUGAAAUACCUGAGCUCAACUUAGGAAUUGCCAUUAUAACUAUGCGUCUAGAAUUAUAGAGAGGAUAGCGGAAUACCCAGUGUAGAGGUGAAAUUCGUAGAUAUUGGGUAGAACACCGGUGGCGAAGGCGGCUAUCUGGCUAUAUAUUGACACUGAGGCACGAAAGCAUGGGGAUCAAACAGGAUUAGAUACCCUGGUAGU